rnacentral:tRNA from 1 species
GGGCCUAUAGCUCAGCUGGUUAGAGCGCACGCCUGAUAAGCGUGAGGUCGGUGGUUCGAGUCCACUAUCCACUUAGGCCUG